GAUGAACGCUAGCGGCAGGCCUAACACAUGCAAGUCGAGGGGUAGAAUUAGCUUGCUAAUUUGAGACCGGCGCACGGGUGCGUAACGCGUAUGCAAUCUACCUUGUACAGAGGGAUAGCCCAGAGAAAUUUGGAUUAAUACCUCAUAGUAUUAUGAUUCGGCAUCGAAUUAUUAUUAAAGUUCCAACGGUACAAGAUGAGCAUGCGUCCCAUUAGCUAGUUGGUGUGGUAACGGCACACCAAGGCAACGAUGGGUAGGGGUCCUGAGAGGGAGAUCCCCCACACUGGUACUGAGACACGGACCAGACUCCUACGGGAGGCAGCAGUGAGGAAUAUUGGUCAAUGGAGGCAACUCUGAACCAGCCAUGCCGCGUGCAGGAAGACGGUCCUAUGGAUUGUAAACUGCUUUUAUACGGGAAGAAACACCGGUUCGUGAACCGGCUUGACGGUACCGUAAGAAUAAGGAUCGGCUAACUCCGUG
rnacentral:rRNA from 1 species